rnacentral:SRP_RNA from 1 species
UGAAGGGUUGGAUGGACGGUUUGCUCUGCUCACCAGGUCAGGUCCGAAAGGAAGCAGCCAGCGUAGUUCUUAACUGGGUCGUCCAGCUCUUCGCUU